rnacentral:rRNA from 1 species
AGAAUCAACGCUGGCGGCGUGCCUAACACAUGCAAGUCGAACGAGAAAGUGGAGCAAUCCAUGAGUAAAGUGGCGCACGGGUGAGUAACACGUGACUAACCUACCCAUAAGUGGGGGAUAACCUCGGGAAACCGGGCUAAUACCGCAUAACACCGAGAGGUCAAAGGAGCAAUUCGCUUUUGGAGGGGGUCGCGGCUGAUUAGUUAGUUGGUAGGGUAAUGGCCUACCAAGACGAUGAUCAGUA